GUAGGUGGCAAGCGUUGUCCGGAAUUAUUGGGCGUAAAGCGCGCGCAGGUGGUUCUUUAAGUCCGAUGUGAAAGCCCCCGGCUCAACCGGGGAGGGUCAUUGGAAACUGGGGAACUUGAGUGCAGGAGAGGAAAGUGGAAUUCCACGUGUAGCGGUGAAAUGCGUAGAUAUGUGGAGGAACACCAGUGGCGAAGGCGACUUUCUGGCCUGUAACUGACACUGAGGCGCGAAAGCGUGGGGAGCAAACAGGAUUAGAUACCCUGGUAGUCCACGCCGUAAACGAUGAGUGCUAAGUGUUGGGGGGGGUUUUCCCGCCCCCCUCGAGUGCUGCAGCUAACGCAUUAAGCACUCCGCCUGGGGACGUACGGUCGCAAGCUG
rnacentral:rRNA from 1 species